AUUGAACGCUGGCGGCAGGCUUAACACAUGCAAGUCGAGCGAGCGGCGGACGGGUGAGUAAUGUCUGGGAAACUGCCUGAUGGAGGGGGAUAACUACCGGAUACGGUAGCUAAUACCGCAUACCAUCAGAUGUGCCCAGAUGGGAGUAGCUAGUAGGUGGGGUAAUGGCUCACCUAGGAGACGAUCCCUAGCUGGUCUGAGAGGAUGACCAGCCACACUGGAACUGAGACACGGUCCAGACUCCGACGGAAGGCAGCAGUGGGGAAUAUUGCACAAUGGGCGCAAGCCUGAUGCGGCCAUGCGGCGUGUGGGAAGAAGGCCUUCGGGUUGUAAAGCACUUUCAGCGAGGAGGCGUUACUCACAGAAGAAGCACCGGCUAACUCCGUGCCAGCGGCCGCGGUAAUUC
rnacentral:rRNA from 1 species